rnacentral:lncRNA from 1 species
GAAGAUAUUUAGGUGACUUACAGCAACCAAUUGCAACAAAACAAAAUGUUAAGAAAUGAUCUUUUUAUGAGGCAAUUGGAAAUUUGAACACUGAUCAACUAUAGGAUGAUUGGAAUUAUUAAUUUUGUAAAGGUGUGAUAAGAUACUGCACUUGGCUGGGCACAGUGGCACAUGCCUGUAAUCCCAGCUACUUGGCAGGCUGAGGUGGGAGAAUCGCUUGAGCUCAGGAGUUCGAGACCAGCCUGGGCAACGUGGCGAAAUCCCCGUCUUUACAAAAACAAACAAACAAACAAAAAAGAUAUUGCAGUUGUGUUGUAAGCGUCCUUAUCUUUCAGAGCUACAUAGUGGAAUGUUUAUGGAAUAUUUAGGAUAAAUGAUAUAGGCAUUUGGGAUUUGCUGCAAAAUGACCCAGAGGCAGGGGUCAGGGGGAGAGGUAGAGAUGAGACAAGAGGUAGAGGGGAGAGGUAGAGGUAGCCACGAGCUGAUAAUUACAGACAAGAGAUGCGGAGUAUGUGGGGGCUCAUUAUCCUGCAUAGUCUAUCUUUGUAUAUCUUUGAACUUUUCAAGAAUAAAAAAGCUUAAAAAGUAUACAUGGCCUGGUCCUACCAGAGACUCACCCAAUGCCAGCCUCCAGCCAGGGAGAGCCAAGUUUGCAUUUUCACACGCAUCUCACACUCCUCUGCACUCUCAACUUGGAGCGCUCCAAACAGGGAAACCCCAAGCCUUGCUGGCUUCUGCCAACCCCCUGAGCAGAAGCAUGGGUCCCCCUGAUCACCACCUCACCACCCUCAUCCUGAUCUCACUGUACACAGCAAGCAAACCCCAGUGUAAUUAACAAGACUGAGGAUACCUGUAAUCCCAGCACUUUGGGAGGCUGAGGCCGGCAGAUCACAUGAGUUCAGGAGUUCGAGACCAGCCUGGCAAACCAUGGCCAACAUGGCAAAGCCCAUCUCUACUAAAAACACAGAAAUUAGCCAGGUGCGGUGGUGCGCAUCUGUAACCCCUACUACUUAGGAGAAUUGGAUUGAACCCGGGAGGCGGAGGUUGCAGUGAACUGAGAUCGCACCACUGCACUCCAGCCUGGGUGACAGAGUGAUUCUCCAUCUCAAAAAAAAAAAAAAAAACAACAA